UACUCAGUUCGGAUUGUAGGCUGCAACCCGCCUGCAUGAAGUCGGAAUUGCUAGUAAUCGUAGAUCAGCAUGCUACGGUGAAUACGUUCCCGGGCCUUGUACACACCGCCCGUCAAACCAUGAGAGUUGGCAACACCCGAAGCCUGUAGCUUAACCGCAAGGACGGCGCAGUCGAAGGUGGAGUCGAUGAUUAGGGUUAAGUCGUAACAAGGUACC
rnacentral:rRNA from 1 species